rnacentral:rRNA from 1 species
GAUGAACGCUGGCGGCGUGCCUAAUUCAUGCAAGUCGAGCGAACGGACGAGAAGCUUGCUUCUCUGAUGUUAGCGGCGGACGGGUGAGUAACACGUGGAUAACCUACCUAUAAGACUGGGAUAACUUCGGGAAACCGGAGCUAAUACCGGAUAAUAUUUUGAACCGCAUGGUUCAAAAGUGAAAGACGGUCUUGCUGUCACUUAUAGAUGGAUCCGCGCUGCAUUAGCUAGUUGGUAAGGUAACGGCUUACCAAGGCAACGAUGCAUAGCCGACCUGAGAGGGUGAUCGGCCACACUGGAACUGAGACACGGUCCAGACUCCUACGGGAGGCAGCAGUAGGGAAUCUUCCGCAAUGGGCGAAAGCCUGACGGAGCAACGCCGCGUGAGUGAUGAAGGUCUUCGGAUCGUAAAACUCUGUUAUUAGGGAAGAACAUAUGUGUAAAUAACUGUGCACAUCUUGACGGUACCUAAUCAGAAAGCCACGGCUAACUACGUG